AGUGAACGCUGGCGGCAGGCCUAACACAUGCAAGUCGAGCGGCAGCGCGUCCGACCACCCUCGGGCGGUCGGAUGGCGGCGAGCGGCGGACGGGUGAGGAAUGCAUCGGAAUCUGCCUCGUUGUGGGGGAUAACGUAGGGAAACUUACGCUAAUACCGCAUACGACCUACGGGUGAAAGUGGGGGACCUUCGGGCCUCACGCGAUGAGAUGAGCCGAUGCCGGAUUAGCUAGUUGGCGGGGUAAAGGCCCACCAAGGCGACGAUCCGUAGCUGGUCUGAGAGGAUGAUCAGCCACACUGGAACUGAGACACGGUCCAGACUCCUACGGGGAGGCAGCAGGUA
rnacentral:rRNA from 1 species